rnacentral:rRNA from 1 species
AUUGAACGCUGGCGGCAGGCCUAACACAUGCAAGUCGAGCGGGGUUUUCGGACUUAGCGGCGGACGGGUGAGUAAUGCUUAGGAAUCUGCCUAUUAGUGGGGGACAACAUUCCGAAAGGAAUGCUAAUACCGCAUACGUCCUACGGGAGGAAGCAGGGGAUCUUCGGACCUUGCGCUAAUAGAUGAGCCUAAGUCGGAUUAGCUAGUUGGUGGGGUAAAGGCCUACCAAGGCGACGAUCUGUAGCGGGUCGGAGAGGAUGAUCCGCCACACUGGGACUGAGACACGGCCCAGACUCCUACGGGAGGCAGCAGUGGGGAAUAUUGGACAAUGGGGGGAACCCUGAUCCAGCCAUGCCGCGUGUGUGAAGAAGGCCUUAUGGUUGUAAAGCACUUUAAGCGAGGAGGAGGCUACUGAGACUAAUACUCUUGGAUAGUGGACGUUACUCGCAGAAUAAGCACCGGCUAACUCUGUGCCAGCAGCCGCCGUAAAAC